rnacentral:rRNA from 1 species
ACUCAACAGUUUCCUUCGGGAAACCGUUAGGUUAGCGGCGGACGGGUGAGUAAUACGUAGGUAACCUGCCCUUAAGACCGGGAUAACUCACGGAAACGUGGGCUAAUACCGGAUAGUCGAUUUCCUCGCAUGAGGGAAUCGGGAAAGGCGGAGCAAUCUGCCACUUAUGGAUGGACCUACGGCGCAUUAGCUAGUUGGUGGGGUAACGGCUCACCAAGGCGACGAUGCGUAGCCGACCUGAGAGGGUGAUCGGCCACACUGGGACUGAGACACGGCCCAGACUCCUACGGGAGGCAGCAGUAGGGAAUCUUCCGCAAUGGACGCAAGUCUGACGGAGCAACGCCGCGUGAGUGAUGAAGGUUUUCGGAUCGUAAAGCUCUGUUGCCAGGGAAGAACGCUAUGGAGAGUAACUGUUCCAUAGGUGACGGUACCUGAGAAGAAAGCCCCGGCUAACUACGUGCCAGCAGCCGCGGUAAUACGUAGGGGGCAAGCGUUGUCCGGAAUUAUUGGGCGUAAAGCGCGCGCAGGCGGUCAUGUAAGUCUGGUGUUUAAACCCGGGGCUCAACUCCGGGUCGCAUCG